UAUGGUCAUAUCAUAUUGAAACACUAGUUCCUGUAUGAUCACUGAAGUUAAGCAAUGUCAAGCCUGGUAAGUACCUAAAUGGGUGAUCACUUGAGGAAUACCAGGUGCUGUAAU